rnacentral:rRNA from 1 species
UACGAAGGAUGCAAGCGUUAUCCGGAUUUAUUGGGUUUAAAGGGUGCGUAGGCGGACUUAUAAGUCAGUGGUGAAAUCUCGUUGCUUAACAACGAACGUGCCAUUGAUACUGUAGGUCUUGAGUACAGAUGCCUUGGCGGAAUGUGUCAUGUAGCGGUGAAAUGCAUAGAUAUGACACAGAACACCGAUUGCGAAGGCAGCUGACGAAACUGUAACUGACGCUGAGGCACGAAAGCGUGGGGAUCAAACAGG